UGCAGAGGAUGGAAAACAUUUGCCGUCUGAACCGUGGUGAUGGUUCUUUAAACCACCGAGAUCGCUGAUGCG